AUCAAGAGCUGGAGGCUCAACCUACUGAGCCACCCAGAUGCAAAGAUUUGGAGGCCUUGAGUCUUGCCCUUUUCAACAGCCUGCUUCCAUGGCAACAGAACCUAUUAGAAGCAACCUUGUCACCACAACUGUAGGCCCAAAUAAUUUUGCAGAAAAGAUAAAAAGUCCUGGGGCACCUGGCUGGCUCAGUCAAUAGAGCAUGU